rnacentral:rRNA from 1 species
AAGAUGGGCAUGCGUCUGAUUAGCUAGUUGGUGGGGUAAAGGCCUACCAAGGCGACGAUCAGUAGCCGGCCUGAGAGGGCGAACGGCCACACUGGGACUGAGACACGGCCCAGACUCCUACGGGAGGCAGCAGUGAGGAAUUUUCCGCAAUGGGCGCAAGCCUGACGGAGCGACGCCGCGUGAGGGAUGAAGGCUUUCGGGUUGUAAACCUCUUUUGUUUGGGAAAAAGGUCCGUGCUUGAAAAUAUUGAGUGCAUAUGACGGUACCCAAGGAGGAAGCCCCGGCUAACUACGUGCCAGCAGCCGCGGUAAUACGUAGGGGGCAAGCGUUGUCCGGAAUUAUUGGGCAAAGGGCGAGUAGGUGGUUUACUAAGUCAAGAGUGAAAACUCCAGGCUCAACUUGGAGACUGCUCUACGAAACUGGUAGACUUGAGUGCAAGAGAGGGAAGUGGAAUUCCUAGUGUAGCGGUGAAAUGCGUAGAUAUUAGGAGGAACACCAGUGGCGAAGGCGACUUCCUGGCCUGUAACUGACGCUGAGGCGCGAAAGCGUGGGGAGCAAACAGGAUUAGAUACCCUGGUAGUCCACGCUGUAAACGAUGAGUGCUAGGUGUCGGGGGUAUCGACCCCCUCGGUGCCACAGCUAACGCAAUAAGCACUCCGCCUGGGGAGUACGGUCGCAAGACUGAAACUCAAAGGAAUUGACGGGGGCCCGCACAAGCGGUGGAGUAUGUGGUUUAAUUCGACGCAACGCGAAGAACCUUACCAAGGCUUGACAUCCUGUGACAGCUAUAGAAAUAUAGACUUCUUAGUUUAAGCCCAGACACAGGUGGUGCAUGGUUGUCGUCAGCUCGUGUCGUGAGAUGUUGGGUUAAGUCCCGCAACGAGCGCAACCCUUGUUGCUAGUUACCAGCACGUAAUGGUGGGAACUCUAGCGAGACUGCCGGUGACAAACCGGAGGAAGGUGGGGAUGACGUCAAAUCAUCACGCCCCUUACGACCAGGGCUACACACGUACUACAAUGGCCUGAACAGAGGGAAGCGAAACUGCGAAGUUAAGCGAACCCCUUAAAACAGGUCCCAGUUCGGAUUGUAGGCUGCAACUCGCCUACAUGAAGUUGGAAUCGCUAGUAAUCGCAGGUCAGCAUACUGCGGUGAAUACGUUCCCGGCCCU